rnacentral:lncRNA from 8 species
CCAGGCACUGUGGAAUGUGCUGAACACGACUCACUGUUCCUUCUCACUGGUCUCACUGUAUUUCUAACUGUUCUCACUGUUCCCUCUUACUGUUCUCACUGUUCUCACUGUUCCCUCUUACUGUUCUCACCGUUCCCUCUUACUGUUCUCACUGUUCCCUCUCACUGUUCUCACUGUUCCCUCUUACUGUUCUCACUGUUCUCACUGUUCCCUCUUACUGUUCUCACCGUUCCCUCUUACUGUUCUCACCGUUCCCUCUUACUGUUCUCACCGUUCCCUCUUACUGUUCUCACCGGUCCCUCUCACUGUUCUCACUGUUCCCUCUUACUGUUCUCACCGUUCCCUCUUACUGUUCUCACCGUUCCCUCUUACUGUUCUCACUGUUCCCUCUUACUGUUCUCACCGUUCCCUCUUACUGUUCUCACCGUUCCCUCUUACUGUUCUCACCGGUCCCUCUCACUGUUCUCACUGUUCCCUCUUACUGUUCUCACCGUUCCCUCUUACUGUUCUUACCGUUCCCUCUUACUGUUCUCACUGUUCCCUCUUACUGUUCUCACUGUUCCCUCUUACUGUUCUCACUGUUCUCACUGUUCCCUCUUACUGUUCUCACCGUUCCCUCUUACUGUUCUCACUGUUCCCUCUUACUGUUCUCACCGUUCCCUCUUACUGUUCUCACUGUUCCCUCUUACUGUUCUCACUGUUCCCUCUUACUGUUCUCACUGUUCUCACUGUUCCCUCUUACUGUUCUCACCGUUCCCUCUUACUGUUCUCACUGUUCUCACCGUUCCCUCUUACUGUUCUCACUGUUCCCUCUUACUGUUCUCACCGUUCCCUCUUACUGUUCUCACUGUUCUCACCGUUCCCUCUUACUGUUCUCACUGUUCCCUCUUGCUGUUCUCACCGUUCCCUCUUACUGUUCUCACUGUUCCCUCUUACUGUUCUCACCGUUCCCUCUUACUGUUCUCACUGUUCUCACUGUUCCCUCUUACUGUUCUCACCGUUCCCUCUUACUGCUCUUACUGUUCUUACUGUUCCCUCUUACUUUUCUCACUGUUCUCACUGUUUCCUCUUACUGUUCUCACUGUUUCCUCUUACUGUUCUCACUGUUCCCUCUUACUGUUCUCACUGUUCCCUCUUACUGUUCUCACUGUUCCCUCUUACUGUUCUCACUGCUCCCUCUUACUGUUCUCACUGCUCCCUCUUACUGUUCUCACUGUUCCCUCUUACUGUUCUCACUGCUCCCUCUUACUGUUCUCACUGUUCCCUCUUACUGUUCUCACUGUUCCCUCUUACUGUUCUUACUGUUCUCACUGUUCCCUCUUACUGCUCUUACUGUUCCCUCUUACUUUUCUCACUGUUCUCUCACUGUUUCCUCUUACUGUUCUCACUGUUUCCUCUUACUGUUCUCACUGUUCCCUCUUACUGUUCUCACUGUUCCCUCUUACUGUUCUCACUGUUCCCUCUUACUGUUCUCACUGUUCCCUCUCACUGUUCUCACUGUUCCCUCAUACUGUUCUCACUGCUCCCUCUUACUGUUCUCACUGUUCCCUCUUACUGUUCUCACUGUUCCCUCUUACUGUUCCACUGUUUCCAUUUUUUAAAAUGUAA